rnacentral:rRNA from 1 species
GUACACACCGCCCGUCACACCACGGGAGUUGGGGGCGCCCGAAGCCGGAUUGCUAACCUUUUGGAAGCGUCCGUCGAAGGUGAAAUCAAUAACUGGGGUGAAGUCGUAACAAGGUAGCCGUAUCGGAAGGUGCGGCUGGAUCACCUCCUUUCUAAGGA